rnacentral:misc_RNA from 1 species
ACAAUACAACUGAAGCUUAUUACAGGUGUACUUUCGUUAACGGCGUAUGUAGUUUUAGCAUUUUGUUUCCCAGUGGAAAUGCUGUUGUCUUAACCUCUCCUGGUCCGGAAGAGGUAAGUCUAUUAAGUACAGUAUACUUCAACUUUUAUGUGUUUUGGGCCAUCGUCUAAAAGAAGAAAAUUUACAGAAUGGAAGAGGGACAAUCACUUGUAAACAGACAAACCUAAAACACAGUUGUCUUUUUCUUCAGUUCAUAUUUUAGAGACUGUCCCAGGGGUACCUGCACAUUAUUAUGCUAUAGAUUCAGUUCUACUGCUAGAGAUGAGGUUACCAAUGAAUAAUCUGUAGAAAUGUGGAUUUAACAGAUUUUCACCUGAUAACCAGCUAAAUAUAUUCCUUAUUAAUCUUAAUUAUGAGAAACUAACUUUUCCUUUAUCAUGAUUUUCUUAUUUCCUUCAGGAUUCUCCAAGUAAUGAGUGGUAUGUCAAAAUUUCCUAUGGACCAAGAUGGGCAACAUAUAUUGUUGGCAUAGCUGUAAUGACUGUGCUUAUGAUGUUGGCAUUCAACUUCUUCAACAAGUUCCGAUGUAUACGUGAAGAAAGAACGGGAGUUCAGUAUGGCGAGGUGGAGCCUGCAAGAGCUCCUCUGCUUUCAUAUAAAGACGAUGACCUCUCAAGUUGGGGCUCUUCUUAU